AGUAUAACAACUCAUGGACUGCAUCUCAUAUAUACAGAAAGACCCACAUCGUGUUGCUGGAUUGUCUCCGACUACACUCACUCGCAAUUCAACUGUGGCUCUUGGAUUCUCAGUUUCACUAUCCUUUCCGCUAAGUGAAUAGAAGGUUUGUAAGUAAAAUGAGUUCAAAUCGUCAAUGGAUGUACAAAAGAUUAGCCAAAGGUCUUUAUGAUCCUAAAUUCAUAAGGGGUGUACAACAUUUUAUUGAGUUUGCUAUGAGUCAUCCAGAAGGGAGGGACGGUGAGAGACUAAGGUGCCCAUGUAACCGAAAGAAAUGUCAAAAUUGAAACUUUGAAAAUGUUCAUACUGUCCAUGGUCAUUUAUUAAAAGAAGGUUUUGUACCG